AGUGAACGCUGGCGGUAGGCCUAACACAUGCAAGUCGAACGGCAGCACAGGAGAGCUUGCUCUCUGGGUGGCGAGUGGCGGACGGGUGAGGAAUACAUCGGAAUCUGCCCAGUCGUGGGGGAUAACGUAGGGAAACUUACGCUAAUACCGCAUACGACCUUCGGGUGAAAGAGGGGGAUCGCAAGACCUCUCGCGAUUGGAUGAGCCGAUGUCGGAUUAGCUAGUUGGCGGGGUAAUGGCCCACCAAGGCGACGAUCCGUAGCUGGUCUGAGAGGAUGAUCAGCGACACUGGAAGUGAGACACGGUCCAGAGUCCUACGGGAGGCAGCAGUGGGGAAUAUUGGACAAUGGGGGCAAGCCUGAUCCAGCCAUACCGCGCGGGUGAAGAAGGCCUUCGGGUUGUAAAGCCCUUUUGUUGGGAAAGAAAUCUUUCAGGCUAAUACCCUGGGAGGAUGACGGUACCCAAAGAAUAAGCACCGGCUAACUUCGUG
rnacentral:rRNA from 1 species